rnacentral:rRNA from 1 species
UACGGAGGGAGCUGGCGUUGUUCGGAAUUACUGGGCGUAAAGCGCACGUAGGCGGCGAUUCAAGUCAGAGGUGAAAGCCCGGGGCUCAACCCCGGAACUGCCUUUGAAACUAGAUCGCUAGAAUCUUGGAGAGGUCAGUGGAAUUCCGAGUGUAGAGGUGAAAUUCGUAGAUAUUCGGAAGAACACCAGUGGCGAAGGCGACUGACUGGACAAGUAUUGACGCUGAGGUGCGAAAGCGUGGGGAGCAAACAGG